CCGUGACACUAGCGUGUUCUUUUCUUAGCCACUCAAGUUUUUUUUUAGUUACUAAUGUUAUUGAGAUUUAAUAUUUUGGUCACGCCUUUAUUAGAUCACUAAUGAUGACCUUUUUUUUAUUGACAUUGUAUAAGCCCAAAUAUGCCUGGCCCAAAUAAAUAUACAUCAGGCCCAACUAAACCUAAAAUGGCCCAAACAUUAACCCAAACAAAAAAUCUCAGAAAACCCUAAGCGGCCACUAGCAAUCUGGCGUCGCAACUGCUGCCUCUUCGCGCUCCUCUACGCACGCCACACCUCCGCAAAUGCCGCUCCUCAAGCACGUACCUGCAACAAGCGAAAGAGAAGAGCAAAACUCGGGCCAACAAACAACCAAAUAGAUUUAUUUGGAUGUAUUUUUCUUUUCCAUUUUCGGCUAUAAAAGGCCAAUAUUUUUAGUGUAAAAGUGGGGGAUUUUGGAGUGUUAAAAAAUACGAAAAUAGAGAGAAAAUACUGAGAUUACAAAGGGUUUUUUCGAAGGUGAAUCGUGUUUAUUUUAUUUAUUUUUCCAUUCUUUUUUAUUUUUUAUUUAUUUUUAAUUUAAAAUAUAAAGAAGGGAGGAAGGACUUACCUCUCUCGCCGGAUUCGUCGAGUCGGUGCCAUCUCCGUCGCAAUCGGAGCCUUGGCGUGAGGCUGAGCGGCGGUGUAUGAGGGUUGAGGAAACCUUAAAAGGGUUUGGUUUCUCCUCUGGAAAGGGAAACCCAAAAGAAC
rnacentral:lncRNA from 1 species